rnacentral:lncRNA from 1 species
CCCUGCUCCACCUCCUGCAACAGAUUUUGCAUGGCUCCAUCGCUCCCUGGCAGGCCGCAGCGAUGGCCACGACACUGCUCCACCUCCUGCGAUGGAUUCCGUGCGGCUCCAUCACUCCCUGGCAGGCCGCAGCAACAGCCACGACACUGCUCCACCUCCUGCGAUGGAUUCCAUGUGGCUCUAUCACUCCCUGGCAGAUCGCCAUAAUGACCACGAUUCUGCUCCACUCCCUGCGACGGAUACCGCGCGAUUCCUCCCACCUCCUGGUGAGUCGCGACAACGGACGCUGUUCCACUACCCGCAACAGACUCCACGUGGCACGUCUCGGC